AAGUCGGAGUCGCUAGUAAUCGCAGAUCAGCAACGCUGCGGUGAAUACGUUCCCGGGGCUUGUACACACCGCCCGUCAAGUCAUGAAAGUCGGUAACACCCGAAGCCGGUGGCCUAACCUGUGUGGGGGAGCCGUCGAAGGUGGGACUGGUAAUUAGGACUAAGUCGUAACAAGGUAGCCGUACCGGAAGGUGCGGCUGGAUCACCUCCUUU
rnacentral:rRNA from 1 species